GCUGGGCAUGGUAGUGCAUGCCUAUAAUCCUAGUGACUUUAGGAGGCUGAGGCAGGAGGAUUGCAAGUUCCAGGCCAUCCUGGCCAAUUUUGCAAGACCCUGUCUCAA
rnacentral:sRNA from 1 species